CAUCUUAAUCUAUUUCAUAUUUUGUAUGACAUUGCAUAAUUGUAUAUUUUCUCAUAAGCUUGUUUGUUAUAGGAUAUUUCUGCGGAGUACAGAACUCUUACUGAUUGGUGGGGCAAAAGAGAAGAAAUCAGCAUCUUCAGAGGUCGUCGUUGUUGGGAGCUUGAGAUUCGUAAGCGUGCUGAUAAUAAGAGGACAACGAUCCACGAUGGUUGGAUACAAAUGCGUGAUGAUCUUCAGCUUGAAGUUGGUGACACUUGCUGGUUCAAGUGGAAGGAUGAGUCAUAUCAUCGGUUCACGGUGGUUGUAGAGAAGGCUUCUGGUUGAUGGUGAAUAUAAUAUCUGAACUUUGUGCUACGUUUUUAAGCGUGUAUCUUUUUUUUCGAACAAUAUUCUAUUGACUGAUUAAUGUCUAUGGAUAUUUGGUACACUUUAACAUGAAUUGAAUGUUCCCAGUUUUAAUAUCAGUAGGUUUUUAUUUGUUUCCUCAGGUUGGUAGAAGAAGAUUUUUUCUUUUCAGUUAUGUCCUACAGGGAACUGUGAGUUUAAAUUUUUAAUUAGGUAACAUGCUUGAAAUAGAAAAAGAAAGAAUAUAUAUAUAUAUAUAUAUAGAUCAUUAAGUUAUAGGAUGACUUAGGAAUGUAAGCAAGAUGUCUAUUAGAGUUUGAUAAGUUGAACCACAGAUUAGUACUAAGCAAAUAUUUAAUACAAAGGUGUAAUCCAAUGUUAGACAAAUCAAAUAGUUUCAUAGGUUACAGUGGUAGAAAAUAUUACAGGCUGAGUUUAAUAUGGAAAAUUAGGAGUUCAAUCUUCAGACAUAGCUCGUUAAAUAAAACACAGUACCACUUUUGUGCUCCUGAGUACCCUGUUCAGUCAAGUGGCAUUGUAGUUCAGCUGAGAAAUGUCAUCAAGAUGGUAUGACGAAGUAGACGGCUGUUGUUCAUUUUGAAUGCAAUAAGAUUAGAAGCUGUGCUAAUUUUUUUUAAUGCAAGUACAUUGGUUUUCAAUAUAGUUGUAGGAAGAUAGUCACCUGAGCAGUGAAGCUUUCGCUGUUCUCUUGUAAUUGUCGUUGCCCUCCUUUGUUUUCCUCAUAGUCGAAUCCUGAAAAAAGGUCUGUUGCAAGGAAAACCUUGUCUUUCUUUUCCACAUUUGCCUGACUAAUGGAGACUUUGACAGUGUACCCUUUUCCAUUCAACAUUUGUAGCAUUUCUGCUAUUCCAUCAUCCUAUACAGUUGAAAGUAAAAAUUACUAAAAAUUCAUUAAAAAAUAUGUAUGAUAUUUUGUACUUCUAUGGAAAUUACUUCUGUUGUUGUACUGAGAUUUAUUUCCUCCAAUAAAGUUCUAACUGCCCUGUCAUCCAGCAUAAGAUCUAGUUCCCCAGUUUGAUCAGAUGCUAUGACAUGAAUAGCAAACCUAUCAGCAAACCAAGAUAUUUAGUAUACUGAGUUGAUACAUUAACGCUUAAUAUAAUAAUAUAUUAUUCAUACUUCUGAUUUGGUUCAACAACUUCUCUUUUACAUGCUCCGCAAGUGUAGCCGUUGUUAUCUGUUUCAACUUUCGUAUAGCAUGAUGUGCAGACAAAAUAUUUCCAGGAAGUGUACUCCUGUAGACACUUGAGUAUAGCUUUGCACACAACCUCAUCCUUAUAUCGGAAAACAGAUAAGUAUAAGUAAUUUUUGUUACUCUCUUCACAGUUUCAUAGGACUGGUGAUUUUAAAUUAAAAGAGUAAGACAUUUGAUAUUGAAUACAGGAGUUUAACCUCAAUAGAAUCCUUUCCGAGGUUUUUUAUCUGCUCCACAGUCAACAGAUUUAGGCUUUUUGUUUUAGCACAGAUCUGCUUCUUACUGAAAUCAGGGUUGUUUAAACUGUAGAAUUGCCAAAAAAUAAGUUAGAUGUGAAUUUUUUUUCUAUAUGAAGAUAAAUGAGCAGUAUUGAAUGUUUACAUACUCUUUGCGUAGCUUGUGAACAGUGUGGUGAUCGUAGUUAAUGUAGAAGGUGGUCGGAGAAUAAUUGCAUAUGUCAAUUUGCUCUUUACAAAAAAAAACAUAUCAGUUAGUCACAUAUGUCUUUUCAUUUUAUAUUUUGAGAACUGAAAGAAUGUUAUAUUACCAUGGAAGCUGGUAACUCUUGCACUUGUAAUAAUGAGUAUAAUAGGCUCUUCUGUAACUUUUUCCAAAGCUUCCAUGAACUGAGUUGCAAAUGAGUCCCAGAAUGUGACAUUGAUUUUAGUCCUGCAAGAGUACAACUGUUAGUUCUUAACAAUCUGUAUUUUUGUCUUUUCUGAAAAUUUAUUGUUUUGAAAUAUUAACUUACUUUCCAUCAAACAGCUUAAAUUUAAUGUUCUUUUGUGGCUUGCCGUGUCUGUUGUUGAAAUCGUUAAGCUUUUCCUUUUUUGGAAGGAUGCCUAUGACAUCUAAAAAAUGAGAUAGUAAUGAGUAAAUGGAAUCCGCUAUGAGUUUCUCUUAAGUUUGAGGAAAUGAAAGGGUAAUACCAGCUAGGUAGAGCACUUGCUCUGACACUUUUUUUAAGUCUGAGAACUGAAACAAAUCGAACAUAUUCUUAGGGAUAAAAGUUUCAUUUUCGUCUAAGUCACUUAUCUUUGUAGCCGUAGUGAAUUUGAUCUUCUUGUCCAUUCUAACUGGUCUGAAUUUGUCUUUCUCUGUGUAAUCCUGCACUUCAAAGUUCUUAAUCAUGUAGAGAUUUCCAACUUGCACCAUUCUCCCAACCAAAUCUGCCAAAGAGGCCGGGACGUAUACUACCAUUCGACAGCUCUGAGAAAGAAGAGGAAGUUUUUCAAAAAACGUUUAGGAAAACUAUGACAUAAGAAAGCAGAUUAUAAACCAUCGAGAAAACCUUUGAAUCAAGAAGCAGAAGAUUGAAUCCUUUGAACAAUUGGCCAUCUUUGGAACCUCUCCACUCUCUAAUAACUCGGACUUUUACUUUCCAGUCUGCUCUCCCUGAGUGCACAUUUCUAAGGAAAUCAGAAGUAGUUUUUGACAUUGUAUUUUUGUGUUCUCUCUGAUGUCUGUUUGUUUCUUUGUACAAAUACAUUGAUAUGUAGUAGAGUUUUAGAUCUGUAUUAAAUGUAGUGGUUGGAUCUUAUAAAUGACAGUACGAAGUUUGGUUCCAGCUUUGAAUAUUUCUGACUUGUUUGUUGAAAUGUAGUUAGUGAAGUAUACCCAAAAAACAUCCUUGUACUGGUUUAAUAGUACAAUAGUGAUAGGCAAUGUUAUAUAUAUAGCAGUACGCAAGAAAAUCUGGGAUGACACACCAAAAGUGCUGGGUCUAAUAUUACAACAAAAUAAGAUGUUCAAGUUUCCAUCCUUAAAAUUAAUGUGCUCCAUUCAUACAUAGUUUAAUGUCAUCAUCCCCAUGACCUUCACAGCUCCAUAGAUAUUUAAACCUGUCACACGUUAGUUUAUAUAAUUAGUUUGACUGAAGCAAAUUUUAGUUAGUACUUUUUUAGUAUUAACAGUGUCUCACCUUCUCCUUCUUAAUGUUGCGGACCCUUGGCUGCUUAACAGUAGGUUCUUCAGACUUGUCCAAAUUCACAUUCAACCGAGGUCUAGUCUUGCAAGCGGAAUAGGUGCUGAGAGGAGUAUCUACCUUUGGUUGAGUUUCUUUCACAUUUGUCUGUUCGAAACAUGCAAAAAUCAUUUACUACCUCAUCCUGAUAAAAUUUAGAGUUAUUAAUAAAAAUACACUUACAUCAGUGAUCUCAGUUGGAACUUCAUGUUCUCUGCUGCUCUUGACUGGUGUAACAUUCCCAGAUAAAUCCAUUGCUUCAGACUUGUCCAAAUUAACAGUAAACCGAGGUUUAGUCUUGUUGCUGGAAUUGCCGGUGAGAGGAGUAUCUACCUUCGAUCUAGUCUGUUGAACAUGUGUCUGUUCGAAACGUACUUCAUCAUUCACCAAAAAUAAUUUAGAAAUUUAGAUAAAAAUACACUUACGUCAAUGAUUUCAGUUGCCACUUGAUUAUUUGUUGUGGCCUUCAACGGUGAAUGAUCCCCAGAUAUAUCCAUUGGUUCAGAUAUCUGAACUGCUUUAUACACAUUAGAUCCCUCUUUCACAUUUUCCUUGGUAAGCAUGAUAGUAAAGUUGUAGAGCUUUUUCUGGGGGAAUUUAAGUAUGGCUGGGAACUUUUGAUCAUCUCCCGCCUACAAUUUAAUUAGACAAAAUAAGAUUUGAAUACAUAUUAUAAUGUUAUAACUGGAUCAACAGAAGUAUCAGAGUGAGGAAUGAUUAAAGUUUCUACCUCAUCUAGUUCAGCCUCCACCUCGUAAAUUUCUUUCCCAGUUAUACGGACAAUUUCAUCAUUUGGCCACACAACAGGAAUGAUUCCAGUUUCAUCCGAACACAGUGUAUAAAGUUGGAACCUAACUUUUAAUUAUAUUAGUAAAAUUUCUUUAAAUUAAUAACUUGUGAGUUCCGAGAAUUUACCUUUUAUCUGGAUAUGGAAUAAUGCGACUACAGCCUGUGCAUUUGUAAGUUCCAUCUUCUAAAAGGAUCUGGAUGUCGCAUUGUGUGCAGAAGCAGAUGUACCAACUCAUUUUCUCAUCAACUUUCUUCACUAACAUUUGGCAAACAACUUUCUUCUGAAGAUUAUACAGGUAAUGUUAAAUUCAUGUUUUACUGCAAUUACUAAAUAACAUUGAAUCGAAAGUGGUUCUGUCUGUUAUACCUCAAUAUGAGUUUCAGUCAGCUUCUUCAAUUCAUUAAUCUUAACAGUUUGCAAAACCUCUUCUUCUUCCUCAACCUCUUCGGGCAACACAUAGAAACCUGGUUCAGUUUCUCUGACAACAAUAUAAUCUUAAGUAGUUAAAAUCAGAUUGAUAGUGUAUGUCGGUAGUACAAACAACAGAUAUCUACUUGCCUCUUCUUGAGAUUUUCUACACUGGGGUGUUUAGGUUUGAAGUAAAAACGUGUCGCUGGGAAAUUGGUGAGAUACAACUGACCUGCAUUUGAAAAAUCACUGGUAGAAUUUUUUGCAAGUAAAUAUCCACAAAUUAUUGUCGUAGUGUAAAAAUGUUACCUUUAAACUGACUAACUUUGGCACUUGUUAUUACAAUAAUCUCCGGAGCACUUAUUGCUCUGGCUCUUUCGUAUAGAAAUGCUUCACCAAACUCAUUGAAAAAGGUCACAUUCAUUGAAGUCCUAUUACAAAGUUACCAACAAAUCAAAACGUGCAAUGUGUGUUAAAUGUUUAUAUGCAUGUGUAAUAAUGAACGUGAAGACAAAAAGAGUACACACUUUCCAUCUGUGAUUGUGAACAGAACGUGUGAUUUUUCCACCUCAUCUUUCAUGUACACUGCCCUGUCCUGAACAUUUGUUAUAACCCCUAUUACAUCUGCAUAUGACACAACACUGGGCCAAUUAAUAUUCAUAUACAGUUGCUUAUGUACAGACAUGUGGUUUGGUAGUGUACCUGUCAAGAACCUCUCGUCUGUUAACAUUCCAAUCAUAGAAUACAAUGGGAAUAAAUCGAAGCUGUGGUCUGGUAUCUUAAGUCCGGGACCAUUAUCUUUUUCAAUUAUGGUAUCAGCAGAAAAAUAGAUAUGCUUCUCAUUUCUUACGGCACGAUUUGUUUCAUCGCCAUUGUAAAAUUUCACUUUAAAAUUCUGGAUAUUAUAAAUCUGUCCUUCUACCAACUCCACCUUCAGAUCUGUAGCAAUCUGACUGCUCAUAAAGGCAUGAAUUCUUUCACUCUAUUCAUGCAUAAUGUCAAACUCAUUAGUGAAACGUUGCUACUCCUUUGAGACUAUAGUUAAAAGAAGUAUAAAACAAAAAACUUACAGAAUCAUCGAAGAAAACUACAUUCAAGGCUUUGAAUUCACCCGUGGUUCGAUUAACUCCCUUCCAAACAGCCUGUGCUUUGACUCUUAUCAGCCAUUCAUCCGUACAAUCAUUCAAGCUUGAUAUUCUGUCAUACUUGUUGAAAGGCAUCUUAACGUACUCUGUGAACAAAGAUCUAAAAAAACUUUUAGGUUUAGUGAACUUGUAUUGUUAAGGAACAAAUCUGUAAGGCAGCAAAAGUUAAGAGAUACCUCAGUUCCGGACAAAUGAAUGUAGUGGGCAGAAGCUUAACCUAAAGAGACAAUGGAAGGGGAUAUUAGAUUUAGAUCUAGUCAAAACUGUUUGUGUGGUCCUCAUACAACACCAAAAACUGUACUUGCAUGUAACUUUCUUAUCUGUCUAAAGUCAUAAAGUAAUAAAGAGAAACAGUUUACUACCUUGUUUUGUUAUUUUCCAAAUUUUUUUCAAGACCAAACUAAAAUCCAGUUCAUUCUAAAUUUGAUCAUGAGUUUUUUUUUCUCGGGACUAAUUUGAAAACACUGGUGAUGACAUAAUUCUGUGUUGAAUAAUAAUACUGUAAUAUUUAAACUAAACAGUCAUUAUCAGAAAAUGAAACGAAUGUUAAGAGAUGAUCUUGAUCACAUAAUGAAUUGGCCAGUCACAUUAAUUCAAGUGUUGUGACCAAAAUACCAAGGCAUAAUAACAUAUUACUAUUUCAAGAUGUUUUCAUGCAUGUGUACUGAUCAAACUAAAUAGCAAAAGGACUACACAAUUCAUAGCUUAAAGAGUUACACAUCUGGAUGCUGAUUCAGCAGUUAGUACAUAGACUGCAGGUCAUUUAGUUCCAAAAUACAGAGUAAGUUUGAAGGUAACUACGAUCACUCUACAACCAACAUAACUAAAUGACUGGUAAAUUGUAGAAAAUCUGCCGGUAAACAACAUUGGCAGUGAUGUUGGUAGUGUUACCCUCUUCAUCAUUUAUGAAUAGCUUCAAACCUUGUGGAGAAGUGACGCGACUAAUAGCGACAUAUAAUUGGCCAUGGGUGAAGACUGGUUUAGGUAGGAACAAAGCAACCUUCUCAAGAGACUGCCCUUGUGAUUUGUUGAUGGUCAUUGCAUAGCAGAUUUGCAGUGGCAUUUGCUUUCUACAUAACCGAAAGGGCAAACGGGUUUCGGAUGGAGAUAAUUCCAUCCGGGGGAUGAAAUGCUUUGUUCCCUUGUAAGACCCCGAAAUGACUUCACAUUGCACAUACAAACAAAAUCUUGACCAAAAAUCAGUUACAUAUCCGUACAAUCUGCAACUACUAAUAACCGCAACUACUAAUAUCCAUACAAACUACAACUACUAAUGGCAAACGAAUAAUAAUAAAUAAAAUUCAAAGAUCUACAUACAAACUAUUAAAAUAAAUUACCAUGUAUAUUCGAAGAAUCAACAUGAGGAGUGUCUUUCAACAAACUGCAACUACUAUAUUCUUCAUCAACUGCAGGAAAACAUCAAGAAUAUUUAUUCAUGUACUAUCUUAAAACACAUAUUUUUAAAAACAGCAAGUGGUUGGAUAAUAUUACCCAUCUUCUUAAAGUACUCCUCUGUGAAAUCACUGCCCAACACAACUUUGGAUUUCCGAGGACUUUUAUUCUCUUUCAUCAUUUGAAGCCCAUAACUGACUGAAUAACAUUAAUGAAACAAACUCAAAGCCUUUCACUAUUAAUGGCGAAAAAAAAACUACAUUGAUGAAUAAAGGACAAAAAAAUUAAACUUGUGGAAAAAGUACAGAUCAUUCAAUACUCACAAACAUUAGAAAGUAGGGAUUCUUUUCUUCGUUUCUUCUCACUACCUCCGCAAUCAUCAACAACAUCUUCCAUCGAUAUUAACUAUCAAAAAACGGACAUCUGAGUUGUGUAUAGAGCUAUUGUUCUAGAGUACAAUAAAUCAAAGCCAAACAAAAUCGAAGCAUACGGGAAAUCAAGAAACGCGGGAAAAAAAGAAAGCAACUCACCAAUUAAAAGCUCCAGCCAGUACUCCAAUAUUUCAGCUGUGUUAAGAAAUGAAACCUCUCUUGCAUCUAAACUUGAUAAGGAUUUUGGGAUUAACAAAAUAAUCAAUCUCAAGGUGAAAAGGACGGUAUUUUGAAAUUAAGGGUUGAAGGAGAGGACACGUACGUGGGUAAGCUUACUUUUUCCAGAUAUUAAGGAGCUCUAGCUGUUUUCACCGAAAUAGAAAGUCUUUACCUGUAGGUUCGGUUUGAUAAUGUCCGAAGAUGGACACCUGUUUUGGAUGAACACGUGCGGGCAAUGUAUUGUACGUACGAAGUUCGGAUUUUAUACACCAUUAUCAGUAAAUACGGUCAAAAGUCGGAGGACAUAAGCGUAAAAACACGCAUAAAAUGGAUUCAGGCAAUAUACAUUAAAGGGAUUAAAAUUUUAUUAUAUAAUUAAAAUACCACUCACCUAAAAUUAUUGAAAAUUUGUUACGUGAGACUCUUGCCGAAUUAGAGUCUUUUGUCAUAUAGUUAUUUAUUAUAUUUAUAAUCAUUCUAAUAUAUAUAUAUAUAUAUAUAUAUAUAUAUUUAUUAAAUUAUAAUAAUUAAAUUUUAAAAAUCGACCGAAUUAACGGAUUAAUCGAUAAUCAGAAGGAUUUUGAUCCGAUUUGGUAAAAUCCGGUUAAAUCGAUGUCUACUUGGUAAGAGAUUUGAAUGAUAGCUCGAAAAUCAGCGAGAAUACAAAAAUUUAUGGGGGAAAAUUAAAGUUUAAAAAUUGAUUAUAUAUUAUUUUAACAUAUAUAAUAUUAGAUUAAUUUCAAAUAAUGAACAUGUUAAUUAUUCCUAUUAAUUGCCCUUUUUUUACAACACUAGAUAUUUAUUUUUUAAUAAAUCAUAAUUAUAAAUAUUAUAUACUUAUGUGUAUUGGAAUUUUAAUUAUAAAGUAAUUAAUGUAUAUUAAUUAAGAGACAUUAAUGUCUUAUAAAUAUAUGUUAGUAUAAAAAUUCAAUAAUACCCUCACUAUUUAUGAAUAUAUAUGUAUAAUGUGGAAGGGCAGUUUAGUCUCAACGAAUUAAAUUACUCAUACUUGACAAGUAUGAGAUAUAUAAUAGAUUUGGGAUAAAUAAAAGUGGUCAGAUAUGUAUACAGAGCAUUAGGGUUUUGUCUGAAGAAUAUAAACGUUGACACACAAACACAGAAGAUAAGCAGCGCCUCUGAUCCCUAUUGGCGGCUCUUUCAAGCUAAUUGUUCUUCAAUUAACAGGUAUAAUAUUCUCAUAUUUAUCAUCGAUUGCGUUGAUUUUAAGUUUAAUUAUCUUCAUCACUCUACUUGUUUUUAUCAAUUUUAGCUUAAUUUGUAGUUGAAUUAAGAAGUGAGUGUUAAUUAAGAGAGAUGAACUUAGUGUCGGAAAUUAGAUAUGAAGAGAUGUCUCGAUUUGAUUGUAGCCUUGUAGCCCAGAAAUGUUGUUCAGGAACUGCAUUAUGUAUUAUAAUUUGUGAACAGCUCAUUUGGUUCUCGCUGUGGGAUCUUACCAGGAUUUUCUAUAAAAAAAAUGUAUGUGGGUUUGAUUGUUUAUCGUUUCGGUGUCUCCAAGAAUCUGGCUUGUGUUUGAACUAAUCUCGCUAUAGUCAAACUACUUAAAACUAAAUUUUUGCUUCUAAUUUUGGAAUUAAGAUUAGUUAUCUCUGUACACAGCUCAUGUAUCAUAUAGUUGAUCAUCAUAUUGUAGAAGAUGGCUAUCAUAUAGUUUGACAUUCUGUGUUUUUAAUAGCAAUUUAUUUUGAAGGAGAUGGCUACCAAUGAAGCUAAGAAGAAACCUAAUGCCAAGGGUGGAGGUGGAGGAGGAGGUCAGUUUGCUUUUAUGUUUGUUAAUUUGUGAUUAUAAUGAUUGAAUGCAUGUUUCAUGCUCUGCCUCUGGUUUUCUUUAUGUGAUGUGUGUGUGAGUUACAAACCUGUAAUGUUUCAGGAAGUAAGAAGAAGGAAGUUAAGAAGGAAACUGGACUUGGCCUCUCCUUCAAAAAGGAUGAGAACUUUGGAGAAUGGUACUCUCAGGUAACAGUGACAUGUUUCUUUUAAGGUUCCCUUGUAUCUCUUUGACAUUGUAGACACUGCAAAUUAUGCCUGAAGGCAUUUAGAAAAUACAUUUUUUUUGACACAGAAACAUCUGUUAUGAACUGACUAUUGUGCAUCUUUGAGUGUUCAAGUUCUGCAUUAAUAAUGUUUUUUUUUAACUUACCUACCCUUUGGGAUAAAGUGUCCUACCUUACCCUUUGGUUCUUUCUUGAUCGUUUCAGGUGGUUGUUAGCGCUGAAAUGAUUGAGUACUACGAUAUAUCAGGUUGCUACAUCAUAAGGCCGUGGGCUUGGAAGAUUUGGAAGCUAAUGAAAGUGUGUAGUUUUUUCUGUUGCUAGUGUUGUAUCUUUGCUGUACAAUUGAUUUUACUAAAUGAUUCUGUCAUUUUGUGUUGAGGACAAGAUAAAUUUGCAGCUGUAAAUCAUCCUUUUUUUCCCACUAGCAGAGAGCCUAAUUUUACUCAUUUUUAAAAAAAAAUCUUAAUGGAAGGAAUUUUUUGAGAAAGAGAUAGACAAGAUGGAGAUCGAGGAUUGCUCUUUCCCACUUUUUGUAUCUCCUGCCGCACUGCAACGUGAAACGGAUCAUAUUGAGGGGUUUGCUCCUGAGGUGAGUAGUGAAUGAGUUUGCAUGAUUUUCACACGGUGUGGUAGGUUUUAGCUUGGUUGAGUUUUUAUCUCAUGAUCUGUGGUGGCUAAUUAUUAAUUUUUCCUGAAAUUUAUUGUAUGUAUGUGUUACUUUGUACUCUAUAUGCACCUUUCAAUCCUAAAAAGUGGUUGAGAGGUAUUGUGCACUUUCCUUAAGUACUGUUGUAUGUGUUAGGUUGCAUGGGUUACAAAAUCUGGAGAAUCUGACCUAGAGAUUCCUAUUGCUAUCCGCCCUACAAGUGAAACAGUGAUGUAUCCAUAUUUCCCAAAGUGGAUAAGAGGUCACCGAGAUUUGCCUUUGAAGCUGAAUCAGUGGAACAAUGUUGUCCGUUGGGAGUUCAGCAAUCCUACUCCAUUUAUCAGGUCUUCUUCAGUACUAUUUUUUUUUUUUUUUUUUGCCUUUUUUGGGUGGUAUAGUGAACGGGAAUAAACUAUAAAGUAUACUCGUAUAUCAUUACCGUAAAAUUUUGAUUUAACUAGUAGAACCAUUAUGAAAGAACUAUGUAAUUAUAUUGUACCUUCACUUUUUUCUCACUGUUAGUGCUAUUAACCAAGAGAUGAAGUCAUGAAAUGCUUUUUUAGACUUAAAUAUUUCCAUCGCUGAAGAUGAUUAGAGAAGUUAUCUGAUAGUCUUGUGGAGGGCAGAAGAAAUAGGCGUAGUUCAACAUAUAUUACUAUCGUUAACUUAUUCUUUUUUAUAAAUUAAAGUUACAUGGUCAGGCUAACAUGAAUUUUAGGAGCUUUGAGUGAGUGGUUGUUUUCAUAUACAUCCCUUUUUGCUUAGAGUUGGCAAAAUCAUGCAGCAAGUUUAUUUGCCAUCCUCUAAGUGGUGAAAUAUUAAAGUUCAACCUCUUUUUGACUGGAAAAGUAACUUGUAUAAUAAUUCCAAGGCGGCAGACAAAGUUGAUCAUAAUUUAACUCUGUAAGAUGUCACCAUAAUAAUAUUUAAUAAAUACCUACAUAGGGUUGCACGCUUGUAGAAUAUGUGCGGAUUACCUGUCAUUUAGCCUUGUAAGUGAUAUUUUCUUCCUAUUCCAACUGUAGGAGUCGGGAGUUCCACUGGCAAGAAGGCCACACAGCAUUUGCAUCAAAGGAAGAAGCUGAUGUCGAGGUACUGUGUUGUCAAGAUUGACAUUACUUUUUGCAUUUAUUAGUUUACCCUUCCCACAUAAAUUUAAAUGCAUAUUCUCGCUGUUUUAUAGUUUUAAAUAUUCUUUGGAGUUGAUUCAUAUAUUAAAACCAGUGUUACAGAAAUCGGGAAUCGGACCUAAUCGGUUGAGCUACCGAUUCAAGGAUUAAUCAGAAAUCGGCGAUUAAUCGGAAGGAUUAAUCGGAGUUAAAAUCGGGUUUAUUUUAAUAUUAAAAUAUUAUUUAAUAUUUAAUUAUUAUUAUAUUAGCUAUUUAGUGACUAAUAUAUUUACUAUAUUCAUAAACUCUAUAAUUAUUCAUAUUUAAAGUAAUAUAGUAUUUUAAUUUUAAUAAUUUAUCAAAAUAUACUUCGAUUAUGAAAUAUAUACAAGGAUUAAUCGGAUUUCAAAAAUCGGAUCGGUGGCCGACCUUGCAGGGGAUUAAUCGGGGAUUUAUCGGUUAAAUCGGGGAUUUUUAGAACACUGAUUAAAACACCUCUGCUCCAAUGCUUUAGCUUCAAAGUCUUGGAUAAGGCUUUCUAUUUACUGCAGAUGUGUUUUGGAAUCACCUAUCUUAUCUGAAUUUUCUAAUCAGGGUGAUUUUGUUAUCAUCUUAGGUACUUGCGAUAUUGGAAUUAUAUAGAAGGAUAUAUGAAGAGUACUUGGCAAUACCAGUUGUAAAGGGUAAAAAGAGUGAAAUGGAGAAGUUUGCUGGUGGCCUUUACACAACAUCGGUGGAGGUAAAAGCUGUGGUUUUUGCGGCAACUACCAUAUUGUAUUGACAUUUUAAUAGUUUUAUUGGAUACAUAUCAUUCUCAUUUGUGAUGUGUUUUGCAAUUGGGUCGUAGGCUUUUAUCCCUAAUACCGGUCGGGGUAUACAAGGAGCUACUUCUCACUGCCUUGGUCAAAAUUUUGCGAACAUGUUUGAUAUAAAAUUCGAGGAUGAGAAGGGCAACAAACGCAUGGUGUGGCAGAACUCAUGGGGAUACUCUACCCGAACUGUAAUUUUCUUUUAUUUUUCUAGCUCUUCUUGAGUCGUCGUUUAUUAAUUUAUGAAAUAGGUAAACAACUCUAGCCCUUUAUUAUAUUAAAUAAGGUUUUAUUGUCGUAUCUUCCUAGUAACUUCCAGCAUUGAAAUUGAGGCUGUUUUGCUUUAUAAACAGUUUAUUUCCUUGCUAAAGACUUGGCUCACAUUUCUUUUUAGAAAUUAAUUUAUCUAGAAUAUAUAUUCUUUUAAUAUUUAUGUUAUGAUAUACCUAUAUGACAUGUUUUCUAUUUCCUGAUAUAUAUAUUCUGAAAUAUUGUCCACUGCUAUUAUAUAGAUUGGGGUGAUGGUCAUGGUUCACGGGGACGACAAAGGACUGGUGGUGCCACCUAAAGUGGCGUCAUCCCAAGUCGUAGUGGUUCCAGUGCCCUACAAAGAUGCGGAUACACAAGCUAUUUUAGAUGCCUGUUCUGAUGCUGUGAAGACACUGACUGAAGCAGGUCUACGGGCCAAAGCUGAUCUCAGAGAUAACUAUUCACCUGGUUGGAAGUACUCACAUUGGGAAAUGAAAGGUGUUCCUUUGAGGAUUGAAAUCGGACCAAAAGAUUUGGCUAAUAAUCAGGUAAGUUCCCUUGAUAUAAAAGGUGCUCCUUUGAGGGUUUGAAGGCACUACUGUUCGCCAUAUAUGAUAGUGCCAAGUAUAUAUCUAAUAAGUUUUCUAAUUUAUUUUUAUUAAAUUGAUUACUUGACUGGGGUCUAUGUCAGCCUUCAGGGGAUUUUUUAUUUUUAUUAAAAAUCUUAAUUGAAAGUUACGAGACCUACUAAAAUCUUCCAUAUACACGUUAGGCUACAAUUAUCCCGGUCAUUUUAUUUAGAAGUGUUACUUCCUGUGAAUUGACUAAAUUUAGCCCGUGAAAUUAAAUGUAGUGUUUUGAAUGCUUAUUUGCUAAUAUUUAUCCUAUGGGUUUCAGGGUUUGUUUAAACUUGUCGGUUUCUUUUUCUGUUAUACAUCAAGCAUCAUAUUUAGUCAUUGAAUUUUUCCUAAAAUUGUUGUUUUCUGGGAAUUAACUAGUAUUGGUCAGUCAAGAAACUGAUUGCUUUUUUUGUCAAUCUUAAUGAUAGAAUUUCUUGCUAGUUUGAUUCUGUUUUGCUAGUGCAUCAUGUUCAAAUACUCGAGCAUGAGUGCAAAAAUUGCAUACAUAUUGAUGUAGUUUCUCCAUAGGUGCGUGCUGUUCGACGUGACAAUUUCAAAAAGGUGGAUAUUCCCAUGGCGAGCUUGGCGGAGCAAGUAAAAGACAUGCUAGAUGAUAUUCAAAAAAGUUUAUUUGAUUCUGCAAAGGAAAAACGAGAUGCAUGUAUUGAGAAAGUGGCGACAUGGGAUCAAUUUAUCGAAGCACUAGGAAAAAAGAAAAUGAUCCUAGCUCCUUGGUGUGAUGAAGAGGUAUGUGCUUAUACUGCAUUCUACAAAGACUUGUAGAAUGUGUAGGAAUGCUUGAGAUGAUGUUAUGCGAGGUCUUUCUUUCAUCCUUCUCAAUUAGCAUUAAUGCCCUAAUGAAAUGUUACUGGUCUUCUGGUUUUUAUUGGCCAAUGAGUUGAAGUGCCCACUCUUUGCCUUUACUUUAUAUUUCCAACUGAUUUGCAUGCGACUUUAUGCAUUGCGCUUUAGCGCAAUGCAUACUUGUGUCAAUGACUCGAUGUGAUAUCUUAUUGUCAAAUGCUGUUUGUUUUCUCAUCUGUUGGUGCAGGAAGUAGAAAAAGAUGUUAAAACACGGACAAAGGGCGAGAUGGGAGCUGCUAAAACACUGUGCUCUCCCCUAGAUCAGCCUGAUAUUCCCUCAGGUAUUGACCUGUUCUCUCCUGUUAUUUCAGUAUAUUUUUCUAUAUUCCACAUUUCCACUUGUUUAUUUGUUCUCUUUUAUGUUUAUUAUUAAUUAUAUAUGUGUAUAGAGGGUGUCAUGGUGAGGCUACCAAGUGAUUUUUGAUAGCACCACACAAUGAGCAAGGCCGUUUAGAGACCUAGUCUAUUUUCUAUAGAAUACUGAGCAACACAUUAAAAACAUGACAUCUUUUAUUUUAGUUUGAUUUCAUAUCGGUUUUACUUGUAAUGAAAAAACCAGGGCUAUUCAAGACACCCCCCCCCCCCCCCCCCCCCCCCUNNNNNNNNNNNNNNNNNNNNNNNNNNNNNNNNNNNNNNNNNNNNNNNNNNNNNNNNNNNNNNNNNNNNNNNNNNNNNNNNNNNNNNNNNNNNNNNNNNNNNNNNNNNNNNNNNNNNNNNNNNNNNNNNNNNNNNNNNNNNNNNNNNNNNNNNNNNNNNNNNNNNNNNNNNNNNNNNNNNNNNNNNNNNNNNNNNNNNNNNNNNNNNNNNNNNNNNNNNNNNNNNNNNNNNNNNNNNNNNNNNNNNNNNNNNNNNNNNNNACCCCCCCCCCCCCCCCCCCCGCGUCAUAAAAGCUUUGUGGGUAGUUUAUGUUUGUCCUGUACUAAUAGCCACACAGAGUAGCAAGUAGGACUCCUGAAAAAGUAUUGCAUUUAUCAGAGCUUCAGAAAUGGUGAAGAAAGUUUAAAAUUACUAGUAAUAAAGUGUACCAGAAUUCUUCUGACGAUUUAAAAAGUGUACCAGAAUUCUAGCUAUGACAAGUUUUGUGCAGCAUUCUCCUAUUCUUUAUCAUUUGAUCAAAAAUUUUCCAAUAGCUAUUGUCUUAAUCAUGAUUUCAAGUCAAACCUCUGAAAAGAAUAAAAUAUAGAGCCUGCUCCUCAUCUCUCUUUGGUAGACUUGAUUGACUGGAUUACAAAUGGAUUUCAGGUAUCUGACUCUUGACUAAUUAGUUAGAUUCAGGUCGUGAUAUAACAAUAGUUGCCAUUCUUCCCUUCUUACAUUAUCGGACAAUCAAAAUUGGUUCCUUUGCCCCCUUAUAUUUCAUGAUAAAUUGGAUAAACUAAGAGCAGUGUUGUCAUACUCGGUCCGGGCUAACUAAGGACCGUGAACUUGCCCAGUCAACCAUGUGGUGCAUCCACUUCAAUGUGGCACACAGAUUCAUCUACAAAGGCAAGAGGCACAACUUAACCGAGCCGAGAUGAGCUGCAUAUAGACAGAGGCAUAGUUUAUUUGGGCCCAAUGUUGAACAAUAAAAGCAAGCUACAGGCCAAGCCCAGAUUUGCAAACAAAAGAUUGAAAAAUGAAUAAAAUACAUAAAUAAUAUGUUAGUUAAUUAGAUAUUAGUAAUUUAGUUGGUCAAAUAUUUUUUUAAUUAUUUAGAUAACUA
rnacentral:lncRNA from 1 species